CAUGGCUAGCAAGUUGUUCCAGCACCACUUAUAAACGGUUGAUCUUUCUGGCCACUUGCUCACAUGCUGUCUUCAGUGAUAUUUGGGCCAAUUCCUGGACUCAAGAUUUUGUUCCUUUUUUUUUUUUUCUGUGGUUCUUUGGCGCUAAGACCACACUGUUUUAAUUACUGUGGCUUUUAAUAUCCCAGAUAACCUCAUGACUCACCUUCUGCAGGUCUUUACUCAAAUACAGCCUUUUCUGUGAGAUCUUCCUCAAGCACCCUAUUUACAAUGCUGGCUUCCCUCUACCCCAACCCCUGCCCGCAACCACCUCCAUAUAGUCUCUGCUUUGCUUUAUUCUUCUCCUUAUCACAUGUUACCAUCUGUUAAUCGACAUAUUUUACUUAUUCAUUUGCGUACUGUCUGCAUAUCUAGACUAAGUUUCAUGAGAUGAUAAGUCCAUGAAAACAGGGAUUUUCAUUUCUUUGACUCACUUUUGUAUCCCCGGUGCCUGGAACACUGCCAAGCACAGAACAGAUUCCCAAAAAUAUUUAUUGAAUGAAUGACAAACCGGUAGAGAAAAACAUCCUACAUACAACCACUCCCCACCCCAAUUUUUUUUUCGAGAAUUCGUUGGCUCUUUUUACACAAUCUUUUGUCAUGAAAUAUAGUGCUAAAUUGACCAAGUCAAAAAGAAGAUCCAUGGGAUUUUGAAUGGGCCCAUGUUGAAUACACAGGUUAAUUUAGGAAGAAUUGACAACUUUACAGCUUUGAUUAUUUCCGAGGAAGAUCCAGUUAUUUCCCUAUUUUUUCAAGCCUUCUUUUAUUCCCUCAGUGUAGCAAAAUGAUUUUCUUUGUAAAGGCCCUAUGAAUUUCAUAUGAAGAUUGUUCCCAAUCAUGUUGUGAUGUUUUGUUAUUCAUUCACUUAUUCAAUAAAUGCUUCUUGUUGUCAAUCAUGUGCCAGACACUGUUCUAGGAGCUGGGAAUGCAGCAGUGAACAAAAAAUUGUUCUCUGCCCUCAUGGAUGUCAUGUUCUAAUAAGAAUGGAAUUCUUUUUUCCCUUAUAUUUUUUAACUAGCAAUAUUUGGUAUAAAAGAGAGCUAUUGAGUUUGGGGUACUUCUUUUAACAUAUCUUCUUACUAAAUUCUCUCAUCAUUUCUUUUUUUAAAGACUUUUAUUUUUCCCAUUAUAGUUGGUUUACAGUGUUCUGUCAAUUUUUUACUGUAUAGCAAAGUGACCCAAUCUCUCUCUCUCUCUCUCUCUCUCUCUCUCACACACACACACACACACACAUAUUUUUCUCACAUUAUCCUCCAUCUUUUUCCAUCACAAAUGACUAGAUAUAGUUCUAUUUUCCCCUUUUAUCUGUUGGCAAAAUGAAGUUUUCCAAUACAGUCCCUGUAUUUAUCCACAAUUGGAUUUCUGGAAAUUAAUUCCAUAUUUUUAGUCAAGAAGAAAAGUCACAAUUUUUUAAAAAUAUUUAGGACUGUAUAAUAUACCAGAAAUGAAUUUAGGUAUCAAAUUAUCUGAUAUGAUCCAAAUAUCUGAUAUGAUACAAUUGACAAUAGUUGUAUGCAACUGAUGCAAGUCAUUUUGAGAAAAUAUUAAUUUUUUACUCUUUGCUGGCAGACUGUUUAGGAACCUAACUCCCUGAGUCAGCUACUGUUGAGUCUAUUUUUUUAAUAAAACAUAAAACCAUGGUUCUCCAUUGAAAGUUAGAGAACAUAAAAUCUACUGAUUUCUUUUAUAUUACUUUCUGUUUGCCAAUUACUUGUACAAACACUGAAGUAGCUAAAGAUUUAAUUUGCAUAUCCAACCACAAUAAAACAAGGAUGCCUGAGUAAAGUCUUACAUCACAGCUGUAAACUAAGAUUUUCUGAGGAGUUACAUUUGUCCUAAUAAUAUAAGACAGGGAUUAAGAGCAAUUAUACAACACCCAUUUCUGCAACUAAAGAAAUGAGGUUUGGCAGCCUGAAGAGUCUUGAGCAUGCUAACGCUGUCAGUAGCAGAGCGUGGACAAAAACUUUAGUUUUCUGCUUCACAUCAAAUACUCUUUCCACCGUGCUCUCCCUUUCAUUCGGCAUUACCUGCGUCACUAGAAACACUCAAAUAUGUUUCUUCACUUACCUAGAAAUUGUUGUGUUACCUUUGCCUAUUAUUUUAGGAGGAAAUCAUUUCUUAUAAAAUUCACAUAUGGCUUUUGAUUUUGUGGCAUCCUUUUCCUGGAGGUUCAAAGAAUGAGCGUAUGCUUGAAGAGUAAAUUCUUACAACAGGUCUGUGGGGCGGGGGUGUGGGGAGCAGAAAUGAUGAGUCUCCUGUGAUAUAAAUCAACAUUCUAAUCGUUAAAAAAUAGAUGCACUCAUUCAUAAGUGUCACAAAACACUCCAAACUGAAUAGGAAGGAAUAUCUGAAUGGAACUGAUAACAGCCAAGCCUGAAGAGGAAGCACAACAGCCCAUUACGAGCUAUUGAAAAUUUCCAUAGAGAGAAAAAAAAAAAUGACAUACAGCAGGAAAUUCCUGACCAGUAGUGUAAUCUCUUACAUAAAAUGUGUUGGCAGAUAAAUGGAUUUUUAUGAUUUUGCUUACAC
rnacentral:lncRNA from 1 species